GACGAACGCUGGUGGCGUGCUUAACACAUGCAAGUCGAACGGGAUUUCGUAAACAGAAGCCUCGGUGGAAGAUUACUAAUGAGAGUGGCGAACGGGUGAGUAACGCGUGAGCAACCUGCCUAUGACAGUGGGAUAGCCUCGGGAAACCGGGAUUAAUACCGCAUAAAAUCGUAGAAACACAUGUUUUAACGGUCAAAGAUUUAUCGGUCAUAGAUGGGCUCGCGUCUGAUUAGCUAGUUGGUGAGAUAACAGCCCACCAAGGCGACGAUCAGUAGCCGGUCUGAGAGGAAGAACGGACACAUUGGAACUGAGACACGGUCCAAACUCCUACGGGAGGCAGCAGUGGGGAAUAUUGCACAAUGGGGGAAACCCUGAUGCAGCGACGCCGCGUGAACGAAGAAGGUAUUCGUAUCGUAAAGUUCUGUCCUAUGGGAAGAUAAUGACAGUACCAUAGAAGAAAGCUCCGGCUAAAUACGUG
rnacentral:rRNA from 1 species